AUUGAACGCUGGCGGCAGGCCUAACACAUGCAAGUCGAACGGUAACAGGAGGAAGCUUGCUUCUUUGCUGACGAGUGGCGGACGGGUGAGUAAUGUCUGGGAAACUGCCUGAUGGAGGGGGAUAACUACUGGAAACGGUAGCUAAUACCGCAUAACGUCGCAAGACCAAAGAGGGGGACCUUCGGGCCUCUUGCCAUCGGAUGUUCCCAGAUGGGAUUAGCUAGUAGGUGGGGUAACGGCUCACCUAGGCAACGAUCCCUAGCGGGUCUGAGAGGAUGACCGGCCACACUGGAACUGAGACACGGUCCAGACUCCUACGGGAGGCAGCAGUGGGGAAUAUUGCGCAAUGGGCGAAAGCCUGAUGCAGCCAUGCCGCGUGUAUGAAGAAGGCCUUCGGGUUGUAAAGUACUGUCAGCGGGGAGGAAGGAAGUAAAGUUAAUACAUUUGCUCAUUGACGUUACCCGCAGAAGAAGCACCGGCUAACUCCGUG
rnacentral:rRNA from 1 species